GCCUUUUGCCAUGACUUCUACUUAAUCAAUGUCAAUUCAUUUCCCCUCUUUCUUGUUAAACCAGUUUUGACCCUGUCUUUGAACUCCAGAUGAUGAUUUCAUGAAAGGUAAAAUAAAAUUAGCAAAAUGGCAUUUUUCCGUCAAUGAGAAUAUAGCGGCUAUAAUUAGGUAGUGAACAAUAUCUUGCAUCUCUCCUACUCUUUCCCACACGAAGCCAUGUGUUAUCUAGCAACAUGAGGGUGUUAAAUUGUGCAACAUAAACUUUCUUCCCCCAGAGUGGUAAGUGAGCUCUUUUACUUUCUGUUGUGACACCAUUUUUUUCGGCUGCGUCAGCACGCCUAUUGUCAAUUUACCUCUUUGCAAGCUGCGUGUAUCUUCUCAAGGAACAUUUAUUGAGACCUCUUUUUCAACACCAUCUAGGCAUUUCCCUGGACAUGUUGUGUGCAAUGCAAGCCUGGCAUACUUAUGUGAGACGCGCAGAACAUAUUUGGAAGCAGCA
rnacentral:lncRNA from 1 species